UCCUUUGUUAUGAAAAAAACUGAUAUAUUCUCUGCUCAUUAACUCUUUCUUAUCGUAUCAGACGAGGCUAUCAGUCGUAAAUUGCACGUGAAGUGACCACCACAAGCAUGACACAAGCACAGGGGGUUUGCCACUCUGCAAAUUCUAUCGUAGGCAACAAGCAGCUGAAGGUAGGCAAGAAGAAACAAGACGUCGUCUGUCAGAGUUGCCUGAACGUCAAAAAUAGGCAAGGCUAUAAGUCGUUAAUUGCACGUGAAGAGAAUGCUAGAAGCAUGACAUGGCAAAACGAACACGAGGUUUUGUAA
rnacentral:lncRNA from 1 species